AACGAACGCUGGCGGCAUGCCUAACACAUGCAAGUCGAACGAGACCUUCGGGUCUAGUGGCGCACGGGUGCGUAACGCGUGGGAACCUGCCCUUAGGUUCGGAAUAACUCCCCGAAAGGGGUGCUAAUACCGGAUAAUGUCUUCGGACCAAAGAUUUAUCGCCUUUGGAUGGGCCCGCGUUGGAUUAGCUAGUUGGUAGGGUAAAAGCCUACCAAGGCGACGAUCCAUAGCUGGUCUGAGAGGAUGAUCAGCCACACUGGGACUGAGACGCGGCCCAGACUCCUACGGGAGGCAGCAGUGGGGAAUAUUGGAAAAUGGGCGAAAGCCUGAUCCAGCAAUGCCGCGUGAGUGAUGAAGGCCUUAGGGUUGUAAAGCUCUUUUACCCGGGAUGAUAAUGACAGUACCGGGAGAAUAAGCGCCGGCUAACUCCGUG
rnacentral:rRNA from 1 species